GUGUUUGCAUUGGCAGCACAUAUACUAUAACUGGAAUAACAGAGACAAUCAGCACAUCCCCUGUGCAGGAUGCACACAUUCCUGAAGUGCUCUGUAUUUUU
ensembl:snRNA U6 U6 spliceosomal RNA